UACGUAGGGUGCGAGCGUUAAUCGGAAUUACUGGGCGUAAAGUGUGCGCAGGUGGCUUCGCAAGUCGAGUGUGAAAUCCCCGGGCUUAACCUGGGAAUUGCGCUCGAAACUACGGAGCUGGAGUAUGGCAGAGGGAGGUGGAAUUCCACGUGCAGCGGUGAAAUGCGUAGAGAUGUGGAGGAACACCAAUGGCGAAGGCAGCCUCCUGGGCCAAUACUGACACUCAUGCACGAAAGCGUGGGGAGCAAACAGG
rnacentral:rRNA from 1 species